AACGAACGCUGGCGGCAGGCUUAACACAUGCAAGUCGAGCGCGAAAGGGAUUCGUCCCCGGUAGCGUGGCGUCCGGGUGAGUAACACGUAGGAAACCUUCCCUAGAGAGUGGGAUAACGUUCCGGAAGGGACGCUAAUACCGCAUAAGCCCACGACCGCUUCGGCGGAUGAGGGAAAAGAUGGCCUCUGUAUACAAGCUAUCACUUUGGGAUGGUCCUGCGGCGCAUCAGCUAGUUGGUAGGGUAAUGGCCUACCAAGGCGAAGACGCGUAGCUGGUCUGAGAGGCUGAUCAGCAACACUGGCACUGAAACACGGGCCAGACUCCUACGGGAGGCAGCAGUGGGGAAUAUUGGACAAUGGGCGCAAGCCUGAUCCAGCCACGCCGCGUGAGUGAUGAAGGCCUUCGGGUUGUAAAGCUCUGUGGGGAGAGGCGAAAACAGUCAUCAAGAAACGGAUGAUUCUUGACGGUAUCUCCUUAGCAAGCACCGGCUAACUCUGUGCCAGCCGCCGCCGUAACAC
rnacentral:rRNA from 1 species